CAGUAGCCGCGGUAAUACAGAGGGUGCAAGCGUUAAUCGGAAUUACUGGGCGUAAAGCGCGCGUAGGUGGUUUGUUAAGUUGGAUGUGAAAGCCCUGGGCUCAACCUGGGAAUUGCAGUGGAUACUGGGUCACUAGAGUGUGGUAGAGGAUAGUGGAAUUUCCGGUGUAGCAGUGAAAUGCGUAGAGAUCGGAAGGAACAUCUGUGGCGAAGGCGACUAUCUGGGCCAACACUGACACUGAGGCACGAAAGCGUGGGGAGCAAACAGGAUUAGAUACCCGUGUAGUCCCUGUCUCUUAUAC
rnacentral:rRNA from 1 species